GCAGUUAAGGGAAUUGUGAGAUUUAAUUAACUGGCUGCUUGAAUUGAUGAGACAGUUCUAUUAAAAUGGUCGAUCCAAUUAGGUUUUGCAAGAUGAUGGAAAAUAGAGGAUCAGUUGCUUCUGGCUCCAUGAUUUCCUUCAGUGUAUGUUCAGCUGUGGGAGUGGGAGGCAUAGUCCUCACGCCUGGCUCUCAUUUUGGCACCUGGGUGGCCCGUGACUGGGGCUUCUAAAGUGUGCCAUUUAAUCCUGCACCAAGCCAGGCAACACAAACACAGGUCUCAAUCACAAUAGCAAUAAGAUCCUCUGAAUCUGUCUGUCCUGGUGGAGGAACCUAUGGAUUCCAGAUUAAGAAACAACACAGAAGGCUACAUUCCUUCUAGAGCUUGGCAUCCUUACAGGGAAGAGAAGAGAUACCCCCACCUCCUUCUGCCACGCCUCCCAUCAGGCUUUCCGCUGAUGAAACCCAACAGGAAGCAGGAGGGGUGAAGAUCCAGUUUGUGGACGUCAAAUAGAACAGGUUGGGGUCGGGGUUGGAAUUGGGGGUUGGAGAAUAGACCAGAGGAGGACAGGAAGAGGUAAAGCAGCACUGAGAAAAACCACUGUGAAGACCGAAAAGGCUGUAAGGGUCAUCUGUGAUGAGCCUCUCUGUACCAGAGAGCCUAUGAGUUGUGGACCUUACCUUCUAAAUGGCACUGGGCUGAGAAUGUGGUUCCUAGUGUGACCUUUGGAAGACACUGGAAUGUCGCAAUGCCUCUGUUGUGGAUCUGGAGACUCCCAGCACAUAUUAACUUAUUGAAGGCUUUGGGAAGACCUUCAGCAGAGAAAUGACUCCCUCAACUUAGGAACACAGACUAUCAGGAGGAGUGAAGUGAUGGUCUUUGCUCCCUUGAGAAGCAUCUCUGAAAACAGUUUCUCCACUCUGGUGCCUCCUGUAUCUCCUGUCUCACUGCAUCAAGAAUCUUGGCUUGCCAGUUGCCUUUAAUCCCAGCACUUGGGAGGCAGAGACAGGCAAAUCUUUGUGAGAUUGAGGCAAGCCUGGUCUACAUG